AAGUGUAGAAUAGCUGCAAUGCUUCUCCAACAGUGCUCCCGAUUUUGGACACGAGCAGAUAUAUAGGUAUUCAGGGCUCCGGCGGCGGACCUCGCCGUGCGCUGCACUGGGCCCUCCGGCGAUCGACCUCGCCACGGUAAUGACGUACAGUGCCCCGACUUCCAGCGCACAGCCCGCCCCAUCCCCGCGCCGCCAUUCUCCACCUUGGCGCCACCCAAUCCCCACACCUGGCGCCAGAUCCGCCCGCCGACGCCUAGCUCCACCAUCUGCCGACGACAAAGAAGAGAACUCCAGCCUUCAGGUGUAAAAAGAUGGCACUACAUUCCUACAGAUUUAGCAUUUUGGUGCUAUAUGUCAUGACAUAAUGCCAGUUCAGCUUGGCACUGCAUGCAACUAAACAUUGUGAUGACAAGAUGAAAUACUUUCACAAGUUAUUGGUGAUGCUCUUGCACACUUGAGGCAGAUGGGGCCAUUUGACGAGCAAAAUAAAGUUCAAGAAUUUGAAUCCUUCACCGGAAUGACAUUCCCAACCAUAAUUUGAAUAUAGUAUGUCUGUUGUCAGGUUUUCCUAAUGUGUUUUUCUUGUUUGCAGAGCAAGUAGCGUCCACGAAUGUCCAACAUCAAUAUAUUGCUCUAUUUACGAAGUCGGCCAUCACGGCUCAAAUGCACAACCCAACCCAUGGGGAUGGCAUCCUUUACUCUGCGUUAGAGAUUGGAUGAGAAAUUUCUUCGUUUAUGUGAUAUGUAAACUUCCAUUGGUGUGGAUUUCUGCUACAACUUGUACACCUAGUUGAAUAUGUUUCUGCAAUAUAUGUGUACCUGUUAAUCAGUUAUACCUUGGGCUGUAAAUAAUAUUUGGGUUGCAACUCUAGUUAUGUUCUUCAUGGUAGAUUUAUGUGUAUUGCCA